rnacentral:rRNA from 1 species
GCAACUCGCCUGUAUGAAGUCGGAAUUGCUAGUAAUCGUGGAUCAGCAUGCCACGGUGAAUACGUUCCCGGGCCUUGUACACACCGCCCGUCACACCAUGAGAGCCGGGAACACCCGAAGUCCGUAGUCUAACCUAUAUGGAGGACGCGGCCGAAGGUGGGUUUGGUAAUUGGGGUGAAGUCGUAACAAGGUACC